rnacentral:lncRNA from 1 species
AAAACUGUUAGGACUUUAGCUAGGAGAGUCCUAAUUGAGAGGGACAUUAUGUUAGGACUCUAGUUAGGAGAGUCCUAAUUGAGAGGGACAUUUAUGUAGGAGGUUUUUUCUUAGAGAAGAAUUAGGAGUUGUAAGGGAAUAGGAGUCUUGAGUAGGAGUCCUAUUAGGAGUUGGUUAGAAGUAAGAGUCUUAAGUAGGAGUCCUAUUAGGAGUUAGGGUUUAGAAGCCCUAUAAAUAGCCAUGUAUUCCUCCUCUUUUCAUAAGCAAUAGAUGAAUCUUUUCUGCAGCCUUUGAGCAGCAACUUGGAGGGAGGAACCCCUAUAGAGUUCCAAG